CCUACGGGUGGCAGCAGUGAGGAAUAUUGGUCAAUGGACGAGAGUCUGAACCAGCCAAGUAGCGUGAAGGAUGACUGCCCUAUGGGUUGUAAACUUCUUUUAUAAAGGAAUAAAACGAGGCACGUGUGCCUUUUUGCAUGUACUUUAUGAAUACGGAUCGGCUAACUCCGUGCCAGCAGCCGCGGUAAUCCGGAGGAUCCGAGCGUUAUCCGGAUUUAUUGGGUUUAAAGGGAGCGUAGAUGGGUUGUUAAGUCAGUUGUGAAAGUUUGCGGCUCAACCGUAAAAUUGCAAUUGAUACUGGCAGUCUAGAGUACAGGUGAGGUAGGCGGAAUUCGUGGUGUAGCGGUGAAAUGCUUAGAUAUCACGAAGAACCCCGGUGGCGAAGGCAGCUUACUAAACAGUGACUGACAUUGAUGCUCGAAAGUGUGGGUAUCAAACAGGAUUAGAUACCCGAGUAGUC
rnacentral:rRNA from 1 species